AGUGAACGCUGGCGGUAGGCCUAACACAUGCAAGUCGAACGGCAGCACAGUAAGAGCUUGCUCUUACGGGUGGCGAGUGGCGGACGGGUGAGGAAUACGUCGGAAUCUACUUUUUCGUGGGGGAUAACGUAGGGAAACUUACGCUAAUACCGCAUACGACCUACGGGUGAAAGCAGGGGAUCUUCGGACCUUGCGCGAUUGAAUGAGCCGAUGUCGGAUUAGCUAGUUGGCGGGGUAAAGGCCCACCAAGGCGACGAUCCGUAGCUGGUCUGAGAGGAUGAUCCGCCACCCUGGAACUGAGACACGGUCCAGACUCCUACGGGAGGAAGCAGUGGGGAAUAUUGGACAAUGGGCGCAAGCCUGAUCCAGCCAUACCGCGUGGGUGCAGAAGGCCUUCGGGUUGUAAAGCCCUUUUGUUGGGAAAGAAAAGCAGCAGGUUAAUACCCCGCUGUUCUGACGGUACCCAAAGAAUAAGCACCGGCUAACUUCGUG
rnacentral:rRNA from 1 species